GGUCAUGUCGUGCCGGCCCGCGUGCCCAGCCUCCAGGCUCAGGCACGGCCCGAUGCGUGCUUCGUGUCGGACCCGAGCACGAUUAGCCCGUGCCGGGCUGGGCCCGUGUCGUGCCAGACACGCGGGCUAUCGGGCCGGCCCAGUUACAUGGCCCGUUUGGCCAGAUCUGUUCGGCGGUGACGCAUAGGUGCUAGCCCUCGGCCGCCCCACUGUAGCGAGGUGGGGGACGACCGGGGGGUUUGCUCGGCUAGGCCUGUCCUUUUGGCCUAAGGCCCAGGGGCAAGGGGUUUUUCUUUUGUUUUCCCUUUUUUAUUUCUUCUGCUUUUCUUUUAUUAUGGGCACUGACCGUUAGCGUGGCGAGCUCCUGCAGCCCCUCCAGGUUCCGGACGAUAGAGGGCAAUAACGCUGAUUCCGCCCGUGGUCCAGCAGCGGUAGCGCUUCUCUUCGACGCCAUAGCUAUGGGGAGGCGACAAAAGUGGCGAAGAAGAAGGCGGGGGAGGAGAAUGGCGAGUGGCGGGCGUGCGAGAGAGGAAGAGCAAUGUGUAAGGGAAGCGUCUGGCAGGGGAUGAGCAAUGACGGUUUCACCCUGGCGCGCGAUGGUUUAUAGGCGGAUGCGCAGUUCCCGGGGCGUCGUGGGAGAAGUGGGUGCGUCCCGUCCCAUCGCCAUUGACACGCAUCGCCUCUUGACUGGGCAGUUCGUCACGACCCGUGACGUUUCGACCCGCACCGUUUCGUGCUUCACUCGUGAAACAUGCGCAUCGCAUGCACACGGGUUGUUGUCGACCCAAUGGGAAUAUGGGUACCACGACCCGUCUGCCUUUGGCCCAGGAGGCGACACUAGGGCCAUCCCGCGGAAGAUGGCUUGACUCGGGUCGCCCCAAAGGAAGUCUCCUCGCGAGGGGUAGGCCACGCGAGGCCCCUCACUGCCCGCUCAGGCCCUGCCGACGCCGCCAGGUACCAAGUCUCCUCGUGAGGUGGCUCCCGCGAGGUCUCUUCGUGAAGAGGGGUGUAUGAAGCCAACCACGGGGCUUCGUGCCCCUCACGUGGAUGACGUCCCGCUGUCAGGCGAGGACACCGGGCGUGACCAAGCCUGUUCCCGUUCUGGUGCUAUGGGAGCGGCGACGUCUGCCCUCCCAAAAGCAGGUUCCCAAAUGUUUCUAUUUCGAUGAAAGAAGACCCCGCUAACAUGACUCGCCAGGAUGGAGGUCAGGCCCGAGCCCACAGGGGCGUCAUGGAUGGUAGCUUUGUCGUCGAAGAGCACAUUAGCAAGCGAAGGUCGCCUUUUGCCAUGAUUAGUUUGAGCUCCUUCCCCCUUCGAAUGGCUUCCCUGUGGCCACCCUUUCCCACUUAUGUUUUCAGAAAAGAGGACCAAGUUCUUGGGCAUAGGUCCCGAACUCCGACAAUACCGCUCCUCUGCUCCUUCCUCCGCCUUGCAUCCGCGGGACCUGUAUUGCAAC
rnacentral:lncRNA from 1 species